CCAAAUUUCACCCAGAUUUCACUGUUUAAAAUGUCAAGAAUCUCAUACCUAUCAGCUUGGAGAUGGAAAAGAGUUUGACAUACUUCGUCGUCCGAACUAUUCAAGAUUCACUGUCUUGCCUAUCAAGUCAUCAAUCAUAUCAUUCUUCGUAUAUCACCGCCACUGCUACCCUCCUAGAUGUCGUCGUCAAAGAAACAUGGACUCGUCUUGAUGCUACUGUUCUUAGUGGAUUACGAUAUGAUUUCAAACUAUCUGCUCCAUACCAUUAUUCCACCCGACUCCACCGCUUAGCAAGCAUGGGAGCGCGCCUACAAAACAUCUUUCAAGAUUUCACGUGUAGUCAUCUUGCAACUUAUCGCCAGUCUCAUCAAGCCUUAUGAUGGGGUUGCAACUCUUAUCCUUUCCCUUCUUUCUACGAAGUCUGAUCGAAAUUUGUCGUUGAGGAAACUUGAAAAGCAAAGCAAUCCGCCUCCACCGCCUUAUACUACUCCACCGGUUGCUCUGUUGCUAUCCCAUCACCAAACACCUCCAACCUAUCGCCAUCAUCAAACACCUCCAACCUAUCGCCACCACCACGACACCACCUAAAAAUAGAGUUGGUGUGUGAAGUCUUGAUCAAAGUGUG
rnacentral:lncRNA from 1 species